rnacentral:pre_miRNA from 1 species
AGUGCACUGGUGGGGUCCCUUGGCCUGGCCUGUGCCCUCUCACAAUCCGGGGCCCCUUGGGGAAUGUCAGAGAGCUGGUUUCAUCCCGAUCCCCGCAGGCCAGGCCAAGGGACCCCACCGGUGCAUG